UACGGAGGAUUCAAGCGUUAUCCGGAUUUAUUGGGUUUAAAGGGUGCGUAGGCGGUCGGAUAAGUUAGAGGUGAAAUCCCGAGGCUCAACUUCGGAAUUGCCUCUGAUACUGUUCGGCUAGAGAGUAGUUGCGGUAGGCGGAAUGUAUGGUGUAGCGGUGAAAUGCUUAGAGAUCAUACAGAACACCGAUUGCGAAGGCAGCUUACCAAGCUACUUCUGACGUUGAGGCACGAAAGCGUG
rnacentral:rRNA from 1 species